UGGUGGAGUGAUUUGUCUGCUUAAUUGCGUUAACGAACGAGACCUUCCCCUGCUAAAUAGCCAGGCUCGCUUUGGCGGGUCGCGGGCUUCUUAGAGGGACAGUCGGCUCAAGCCGAUGGAAGUUGGAGGCAAUAACA
rnacentral:rRNA from 1 species